GAGAUACAGAAGCCUUUCACAGCCCAACUGAGCAUGCACGACUCAGGGACCUAUGAUGUCAGGUACUUAUCAUCAUCAAAGACCAACCUGGGACCACGGCUCCAGUGUUGGUUGUCUCAGGCCAAUGAAGAUUAAAGGUGUGGAUUUCCAUAAGAGUAAGUGAGAGACCUCGGCGGUAUGGGCACUCACCAUCCAAUACGAGGCCAUGUGCUAACCAGCCAGUCGAUAGGCUUCUGCUAGGCUCCUUCAGGAACUGUCCAAAACAGGUCUCUCUCGCCCUCAAUUUUAUUCAGUGGUGGCCAUAUUAAAAGGGGAGAGAAUCUCUUUUAUCAUAUAUGUACUUUUUAUGAGUCUCACUAAGUAGACCUGGCUGGCCCGGAGUUCUCUAUGUAUUCCAGGCUUGCCUUUAGCUUAAAGAGAUCCCCCUACCUCUGAUUUCUGGAGAACUCCAAUUAAAGCAGUGGACGCCUAGACCUGGCUUUGGUGAGACAUUGUCCUAUCAUGUCCGUGGAUGUCCAGCCUGUUGGAGAAUGAAGGACCAUGUGGAAACAGAUGGCUUUGUUAGCAGGCAACUACCAACCUCCAGAGAUGUGAGUAUGGGCCUCUUUAAAUGUUUAGCCCAGUUGUCUUACUCUAAAGACAACUAUGUUAGCUGACAGGGAAAACCUUGAAAAGGAAUCAAAGCAGGUAACCUGCCUUACAAAAUUAUGAGCCGCCGCUGAGCUCAGGCGCUAAGCACAGAAGGGUGCAGCCAACGAAGUAAGAGUUCGUUGGGAUCUGCUUGGAAAAACUAUCCUGCCUUGGCCCAUAGUUUCUCAACCCCCUUUUGUGAUACCUGCUACUAUGCUUUUCAUCUUCUUGGCUCAAGGGCAGUCAUCUGAAUCAAGCUUGUCCAAUGGAUGCCCUGUGGUUUAUGCAGAGGAAAGAGAUCAACUUAAGAAUAGUGAAAGGCAAAUUUGGGGGUGAAUUUAAAUGUUGACUAUUUCAGCUGGGCUUGGUGGCACUCCUGCAAUUCCACACUCAGGAGGCAGAGGCAGGUGGAUUGCUGUGACUUUCAGGCCAGCGUGGAGUACAAAGUGAGUCCAGGACAGCCAAGGCUACACAGAGAAACCCUGUCUUGAAAAACCAGAAAAGAAAAAAAAAGUUGACUAUUUCCUUAACCAAGAUGCUUGGGACUAGAAGUGUUUUAGUAUGUGGGAUUAUUUAAGAUUCUGAAAUGUUUAUAUAUAUAUAUAUA